AGUGAACGCUGGCGGUAGGCCUAACACAUGCAAGUCGAACGGCAGCACAGUAAGAGCUUGCUCUUACGGGUGGCGAGAGGCGGACGGGUGAGGAAUACAUCGGAAUCUACUUUUUCGUGGGGGAUAACGUAGGGAAACUUACGCUAAUACCGCAUACGACCUACGGGUGAAAGCAGGGGAUCUUCGGACCUUGCGCGAUUGAAUGAGCCGAUGUCGGAUUAGCUAGUUGGCGGGGUAAAGGCCCACCAAGGUGACGAUCCGUAGCUGGUCUGAGAGGAUGAUCAGCCACACUGGAGCGGAGACACGGUCCAGACUCCUGCGGGAGGCAGCAGUGGGGAAUAUUGGACAAUGGGCGCAAGCCUGAUCCAGCCAUACCGCGUGGGUGAAGAAGGCCUUCGGGUUGUAAAGCCCUUUUGUUGGGAAAGAAAAGCAGCAGGUUAAUACCCCGCUGUUCUGACGGUACCCAAAGAAUAAGCACCGGCUAACUUCGUG
rnacentral:rRNA from 1 species